GGAGAGAUCAAAGCCAUAUUGACCCAUCACGCCAUUUCAGGAUUGGCUGCUGCCUAGGUCUAAAACAUGCUUAGGUAUUGGUGAAAGCCAAAGGUUAGUUUCUUGAAAAGGGAGUGGAGAUGGCCAGUGUGCUGUUGCAAAAGGCUAUACCACUUAGCACACUUUUAUCCAAGGUGACUUUUAGAAUAAGUACGUGAUCCUUGUGGUAACUGAACACACACACCUGUGGUGUUGCUAAUGCCAUACUCUUACCAACUGACACACAGAACUGGAAGGAAGAUUGUCUUCUAAUCUCUAGCCAGCUGUAGCAUUGAAAGUGGUGUAAACCAAAACAAGUUGGUCACAAUUCCCUAGACUUGGACUCACAAGUUCUAGAAGUUGUUUGUUGCAUCACGAUGCCUGAGCAUUCUAUGGCAACACAAUGACCUAAACACUGAAAACAUAUAAUCACUGGUACUUAGGCUAUCUGAUAUUAACACAUAGCUAGCUCUCCUAUGUAGGUUAAUUGCUGAAAGUGGAAGAUAACAGUAGCUACAACUAAUCUGUGUCUUUGGUCACACCCAAUCUCUGACCGACCGACUGCUGAGUCGGUGUAACUCUCACUUCUGUUUCUCUGGGCCAGCCUGCCCUUGUAAGGCAGUCAAAACAACAUAUAGCUUAAAGCGCAGAGUUAAAAUGUGCUGUAUUAAAAAUCAGACGAGAAACCCAAGCCUCACACUCACUCUCCUGUAUAACAAGUGACAGGCUGACACAGACUUGAGAGAAGAGGGUAAGAAGAGGGGCAGGGAAUGAGGCUGCUUAUGUCACCAGUACAAAUGGAUAUGGGUGACCUAGAGACAGAGACUAGAGAGCAGAGAGACUAACUACAGGUCAAAUCCAGCCUAGAGAGCAGAGAGACUAACUACAGGUCAAAUACAGCCUAGAGAGCAGAGAGACUAACUACAGGUCAAAUACAGCCUAGAGAGCAGAGAGACUAACUACAGGUCAAAUACAGCCUAGAGAGCAGAGAGACUAACUACAGGUCAAAUACAGCCUAGAGAGCAGAGAGACUAACUACAGGUCAAAUACAGCCUAGAGAGCAGAGAGACUAACUACAGGUCAAAUACAGCCUAGAGAGCAGAGAGACUAACUACAGGUCAAAUCCAGCCUAGAGAGCAGAGAGACUAACUACAGGUCAAAUACAGCCUAGAGCAGAGAGACUAACUACAGGUCAAAUACAGCCUAGAGAGCAGAGAGACUAACUACAGGUCAAAUACAGCCUAGAGAGCAGAGAGACUAACUACAGGUCAAAUACAGCCUAGAGAGCAGAGAGACUAACUACAGGUCAAAUACAGCCUAGAGAGCAGAGAGACUAACUACAGGUCAAAUACAGCCUAGAGAGCAGAGAGACUAACUACAGGUCAAAUACAGCCUAGAGAGCAGAGAGACUAACUACAGGUCAAAUCCAGCCUAGAGAGCAGAGAGACUAACUACAGGUCAAAUCCAGCCUUGGCGUAGGCUAACAACUUGAUUUACAGCUCACCUUUUUUGUUAUACACUAAGUCAGGGUUCCCCAACUGGCAGCCCGCAGUUCAAUUUAUUCCCCCCCACAAGUUUUCUGAGCAAGAAAAAGGGACAUAAGACUAAAAACACCAGCAAAAUCAGCUAAAUUAACUUUAGAUCUUUUCCAAAGAAUUUCCACACAUAAUAAAGAGAUAUGUAAUCAUAGGCAAAUGUAAGCAAGGUUUGAAAUGACUAUUUUAGUCAAAUGAGAUCUGUUUGGGCUUCUUGCAGUCAAUUUGCAUGUUUACAGUAAUU